UACAGAGGUCUCAAGCGUUGUUCGGAUUCAUUGGGCGUAAAGGGUGCGUAGGUGGCGGGGCAAGUCUGGUGUGAAAUCCCGGGGCUCAACCCUGGGCCUGCAUUCGAUACGGGCAGACUAGAGUAUGGCAGGGGAGACUGGAAGUUCCUGGUGUAGCGGUGAAAUGCGCAGAUAUCAGGAGGAACACCGGUGGCGAAGGCGGGUCUCUGGGCCGAAAACUGACGCUGAGGAGCGAAAGCGUGGGGAGCAAACAGGAU
rnacentral:rRNA from 1 species